rnacentral:rRNA from 7 species
GCGUAGGUGAACCUGCGGAAGGAUCAUUG